rnacentral:rRNA from 1 species
UACAGAGGGUGCGAGCGUUAAUCGGAAUUACUGGGCGUAAAGCGCACGUAGGUGGCGACGUAAGUCGGGUGUGAAAGCCCCGGGCUCAACCUGGGAAUUGCAUUCGAGACUGCAUUGCUGGAGUACGGAAGAGGAAGGCGGAAUUCCCGGUGUAGCGGUGAAAUGCGUAGAUAUCGGGAGGAACAUCAGUGGCGAAGGCGGUUGCCUGGAGCUUUGCUGACGCUGAGGCGCGAAAGCGUGGGGGGCGAACGGG